rnacentral:rRNA from 1 species
UGGGGAAUAUUGGGCAAUGGGCGCAAGCCUGACCCAGCAACGCCGCGUGAGGGAAGAAGGUCUUCGGAUUGUAAACCUCUGUCCUUGGUGACGAAACAAAUGACGGUAGCCAAGGAGGAAGCCCCGGCUAACUACGUGCCAGCAGCCGCGGUAAUACGUAGGGGGCGAGCGUUGUCCGGAAUUACUGGGCGUAAAGGGUGCGUAGGUGGCCUUUUAAGUUGGAUGUGAAAUACCCGGGCUUAACUUGGGGGGUGCAUCUAAUACUGGGAGGCUAGAGUGCAGGAGAGGGAAGCGGAAUUCCUAGUGUAGCGGUGAAAUGCGUAGAUAUUAGGAGGAACACCAGUGGCGAAGGCGGCUUUCUGGACUGUAACUGACACUGAGGCACGAAAGCGUGGGGAGCAAACA